GGAACUGAAACAUCUAAGUACCCCGAGGAAAGAAAUCAACCGAGAUUCCCCAGUAGCGGCGAGCGAACGGGGAGCAGCCCAGAGCCUGAAUCAGUGUGUGUGUUAGUGGAAGCGUCUGGAAAGGCGCGCGAUACAGGGUGACAGCCCCGUACACAAAAAUGCACAUGCUGUGAGCUCGAUGAGUAGGGCGGGACACGUGGUAUCCUGUCUGAAUAUGGGGGGACCAUCCUCCAAGGCUAAAUACUCCUGACUGACCGAUAGUGAACCAGUACCGUGAGGGAAAGGCGAAAAGAACCCCGGCGAGGGGAGUGAAAAAGAACCUGAAACCGUGUACGUACAAGCAGUGGGAGCACAGAGCAAUCUGUGUGACUGCGUACCUUUUGUAUAAUGGGUCAGCGACUUAUAUUCUGUAGCAAGGUUAACCGAAUAGGGGAGCCGAAGGGAAACCGAGUCUUAACUGGGCGUUAAGUUGCAGGGUAUAGACCCGAAACCCGGUGAUCUAGCCAUGGGCAGGUUGAAGGUUGGGUAACACUAACUGGAGGACCGAACCGACUAAUGUUGAAAAAUUAGCGGAUGACUUGUGGCUGGGGUGAAAGGCCAAUCAAACCGGGAGAUAGCUGGUUCUCCCGAAAGCUAUUUAGGUAGCGCCUCGUGAAUUCAUCUCCGGGGGUAGAGCACUGUUUCGGCAAGGGGGUCAUCCCGACUUACCAACCCGAUGCAAACUGCGAAUACCGGAGAAUGUUAUCACGGGAGACACACGGCGGGUGCUAACGUCCGUCGUGAAGAGGGAAACAGCCCAGACCGCCAGCUAAGGUCCCAAAGUCAUGGUUAAGUGGGAAACGAUGUGGGAAGGCCCAGACAGCCAGGAUGUUGGCUUAGAAGCAGCCAUCAUUUAAAGAAAGCGUAAUAGCUCACUGGUCGAGUCGGCCUGCGCGGAAGAUGUAACGGGGCUAAACCAUGCACCGAAGCUGCGGCAGCGACGCUGAUGCGUUGUUGGGUAGGGGAGCGUUCUGUAAGCCUGCGAAGGUGUGCUGUGAGGCAUGCUGGAGGUAUCAGAAGUGCGAAUGCUGACAUAAGUAACGAUAAAGCGAGUGAAAAGCCCGCUCGCCGGAAGACCAAGGGUUCUUGUCCAACGUUAAUCGGGGCAGGGUGAGUCGACCCCUAAGGCGAGGCCGAAAGGCGUAGUCGAUGGGAAACAGGUUAAUAUUCCUGUACUUGGUGUUACUGCGAAGGGGGGACGGAGAAGGCUAUGUUGGCCGGGCGACGGUUGUCCCGGUUUAAGCGUGUAGGCUGGUUUUCCAGGCAAAUCCGGAAAAUCGAGGCUGAGGCGUGAUGACGAGGCACUACGGUGCUGAAGCAACAAAUGCCCUGCUUCCAGGAAAAGCCUCUAAGCAUCAGGUAACAUCAAAUCGUACCCCAAACCGACACAGGUGGUCAGGUAGAGAAUACCAAGGCGCUUGAGAGAACUCGGGUGAAGGAACUAGGCAAAAUGGUGCCGUAACUUCGGGAGAAGGCACGCUGAUAUGUAGGUGAAGUCCCUCGCGGAUGGAGCUGAAAUCAGUCGAAGAUACCAGCUGGCUGCAACUGUUUAUUAAAAACACAGCACUGUGCAAACACGAAAGUGGACGUAUACGGUGUGACGCCUGCCCGGUGCCGGAAGGUUAAUUGAUGGGGUUAGCGCAAGCGAAGCUCUUGAUCGAAGCCCCGGUAAACGGCGGCCGUAACUAUAACGGUCCUAAGGUAGCGAAAUUCCUUGUCGGGUAAGUUCCGACCUGCACGAAUGGCGUAAUGAUGGCCAGGCUGUCUCCACCCGAGACUCAGUGAAAUUGAACUCGCUGUGAAGAUGCAGUGUACCCGCGGCAAGACGGAAAGACCCCGUGAACCUUUACUAUAGCUUGACACUGAACAUUGAGCCUUGAUGUGUAGGAUAGGUGGGAGGCUUUGAAGUGUGGACGCCAGUCUGCAUGGAGCCGACCUUGAAAUACCACCCUUUAAUGUUUGAUGUUCUAACGUGGACCCGUAAUCCGGGUUGCGGACAGUGUCUGGUGGGUAGUUUGACUGGGGCGGUCUCCUCCUAAAGAGUAACGGAGGAGCACGAAGGUUGGCUAAUCCUGGUCGGACAUCAGGAGGUUAGUGCAAUGGCAUAAGCCAGCUUGACUGCGAGCGUGACGGCGCGAGCAGGUGCGAAAGCAGGUCAUAGUGAUCCGGUGGUUCUGAAUGGAAGGCCAUCGCUCAACGGAUAAAAGGUACUCCGGGGAUAACAGGCUGAUACCGCCCAAGAGUUCAUAUCGACGGCGGUGUUUGGCACCUCGAUGUCGGCUCAUCACAUCCUGGGGCUGAAGUAGGUCCCAAGGGUAUGGCUGUUCGCCAUUUAAAGUGGUACGCGAGCUGGGUUUAGAACGUCGUGAGACAGUUCGGUCCCUAUCUGCCGUGGGCGCUGGAGAACUGAGGGGGGCUGCUCCUAGUACGAGAGGACCGGAGUGGACGCAUCACUGGUGUUCGGGUUGUCAUGCCAAUGGCACUGCCCGGUAGCUAAAUGCGGAAGAGAUAAGUGCUGAAAGCAUCUAAGCACGAAACUUGCCCCGAGAUGAGUUCUCCCUGACUCCUUGAGAGUCCUGAAGGAACGUUGAAGACGACGACGUUGAUAGGCCGGGUGUGUAAGCGCAGCGAUGCGUUGAGCUAACCGGUACUAAUGAACCGUGAGGCUUAACCUU
rnacentral:rRNA from 1 species